rnacentral:rRNA from 1 species
UACGUAGGGGGCAAGCGUUGUCCGGAAUCAUUGGGCGUAAAGAGCGCGUAGGCGGUCCGGUAAGUCCGCUCUGAAAGCCCGGGGCUCAACCCCGGGAGGCGGGCGGAUACUGUCGGGCUAGAGUCCGGAAGAGGCGAGUGGAAUUCCUGGUGUAGCGGUGAAAUGCGCAGAUAUCAGGAGGAACACCGAUGGCGAAGGCAGCUCGCUGGGACGGUACUGACGCUCAUGCACGAAAGCGUGGGGAGCAAACAGG